GGCCAGACUCCUACGGGAGGCAGCAGUGAGGAAUAUUGGUCAAUGGGCUUACGCCUGAACCAGCCAAGUCGCGUGAGGGAAGACUGCCCUAUGGGUUGUAAACCUCUUUUGUCAGGGAGCAAUUGGCGCUACGUGUAGCGUUAUCGAGAGUACCUGAAGAAAAAGCAUCGGCUAACUCCGUGCCAGCAGCCGCGGUAAUACGGAGGAUGCGAGCGUUAUCCGGAUUUAUUGGGUUUAAAGGGUGCGUAGGCGGAAUGCCAAGUCGGGGGUAAAAUCGCGGGGCUCAACCUCGCUCCGCCGUUGAAACUGGCGUUCUUGAGUGGGCGAGAAGUAUGCGGAAUGCGCAGUGUAGCGGUGAAAUGCUUAGAUAUUGCGCAGAACUCCGAUUGCGAAGGCAGCAUACCGGCGGCGAUCUGACGCUGAGGCACGAAAGCGUGGGUAUCGAACAGGAUUAGAUACCCCAGUAA
rnacentral:rRNA from 1 species